rnacentral:rRNA from 1 species
AUUGAACGCUGGCGGCAUGCUUUACACAUGCAAGUCGAACGGCAGCACAGGGAGCUUGCUCCCGGGUGGCGAGUGGCGCACGGGUGAGUAAUACAUCGGAACGUGUCCCUGUUGUGGGGGAUAACUGCUCGAAAGGGUGGCUAAUACCGCAUGAGACCUGAGGGUGAAAGCGGGGGAUCGCAAGACCUCGCGCAAUUGGAGCGGCCGAUGCCCGAUUAGCUAGUUGGUGAGGUAAAAGGGCUCACCAAGGCGACGAUCGGUAGCUGGUCUGAGAGGACGACCAGCCACACUGGGACUGAGACACGGCCCCAGACUCCUACGGGAGGCAGCAGUGGGGAAUUUUGGGACAAUGGGGGGCAACCCUGAUCCAGCCAUGCCGCGUGCAGGAUGAAGGCCUCGGGUUGUAAACUGCUUUGUCAGGGACGAAAAGGACCGUGGUUAA